UUUAGUCCUCAGCCUUUUCCCGACCGAACCCGAAGUCCCUCUGUGUAGUCGCUCUCUUCCUCCUUCCUCUCCGACCGUCUGGCACCGCCGACGCCGUUCCCCUCCACGCAGCUCCACACUGCCCGCGGCUCCUCUCCCUCCCCAGCGCCGGCGCCCUCUCCCAUGUGUGCGUUACCGACACUCUCUUCCUCACACAUGUCCCUCUACAUCAGUGAAAAUCCGACUUCCCCCCUCCGGCUCUUCGAUCUACAGCGGCCGGGCUCAAUCUGCGGCAGAGACUACCAAGACGGCGCGACAGAGCUGCUUCUGCCGGUCGCCUGCAUGGGGCUGCUGCUGGUCGUCAGGCACGCAGCAACGGCGGCGAGAAGGUGGCGGCAAGGGGACGGCGAGCUCCGACAUGUUCCUCCAACCGCUCUAGGACUCCACCACCAAGCACACCAACCUCAAGGCAUUUGAUGUGCACCCUUGGUCGCCCGGUCCGACGAACUGCUAACGAAACAAUGCCCAACGUCGUGAGUGUGCUCACGUUCUGCAAUCAAGCAACCGCCCUCCUCCAGCAGCAGCAAAAGGAGGAACUGGAGCAGCUCUACUUGCCAGAUGAGAUUUGAGCAAGAAGCUCCUUAGCUCGAAGGACGGAGUGAACAAACAUCCCAGCAAUCAUGUGCUGCCAAGGACACUGAAUAAUCUCGAGUGAAGUUGGAAGCAAUUGGAUCUUUUUCGAAAUGCAACUAGCAGGACAUCAACUCCAAAAUUAUCAAGUGCAUUCCUAGAAAAUUAUCUGAUGAUUAAAAGAAGAAAGUCUUGUCUGAUUUUGAUCUGCUCCAAAAUUAACAGUGAAUUUGAUUGAAUUUUAGAGAGUGCAGAGGAGCAGCAGCAACAACAACAACACGAGCACGGGAGAAGCAGGCGACAUGGGAGAAUCACGGGAGACAGCAGAGCUCCACCAGCAGGAGCUCGAGGAGAAGCAGCAGUGGGAGCUCGAGAAGAAACAGCAACCGGAGCUCAAGGAGAAGCAACAGCGGGAGCUCAAGGACGUGUGAGAGAGUAGUUCUGGGCAGUGGCGGCAAAGCAGUUAUGGGUGGAAGCGCAGAUCUUGGCUACGGCGGAAGAGCAGUUUUGGGCGGCGGCGGUAGAGCAGUUGGGCGGCAAUGCAAGUCUGGGCGGCGGGAGGGGAUCAAGGCAGCGGAGGCGAUGCCCCUAGGAAACGCGACUGGAGGGGACCGUAGCUGGCCGGUGCUGGCCCCUGGCGAUGCUCGGGCAAUGAGCGGAGGAAGAAGACGGGGCGGAGGGGUCUGUUUGAGACAAUUUUCGGAUGACGAGGUUUUGUUUGCAAAUUUACCAAUGAACUGGGAGUACAACAUUAAUUUCGGGACGGAGGGAGUAUAUUUUGAGUGAAACGUAUAGUGGUAUAUGUAUAUCAAAGCAAUAGUGCUUUCUUUCAAGUUUGUGAACAAGUACUAUUCUACUUUGGAUCCGUUGCAAUGCACAGGCAAAUUGCUAGUCA